rnacentral:rRNA from 1 species
UACGUAGGAUGCAAGCGUUGUCCGGAAUUAUUGGGCGUAAAGGGUACGCAGGCGGUGCGGUCAGUCAGUUGUGAAAUCUCCCGGCUUAACUGGGAGGGGUCAAUUGAUACUGCCGCGCUUGAGGACAGAAGAGGAAAGUGGAAUUCCCGGUGUAGCGGUGAAAUGCGUAGAUAUCAGGAGGAACACCAGUGGCGAAGGCGGUUACCUGGGCUUGUUCUGACGCUGAGGCACAAAAGCUGGGGGAGCAAACGGG